CCUACGGGAGGCAGCAGUGAGGAAUAUUGGUCAAUGGACGAGAGUCUGAACCAGCCAAGUAGCGUGAAGGAUGACUGCCCUAUGGGUUGUAAACUUCUUUUAUAUGGGAAUAAAAUGUUCCACGUGUGGGUGUUUGUAUGUACCAUACGAAUAAGGAUCGGCUAACUCCGUGCCAGUAGCCGCGGUAAUACGGAGGAUCCGAGCGUUAUCCGGAUUUAUUGGGUUUAAAGGGAGCGUAGGUGGAUUGUUAAGUCAGUUGUGAAAGUUUGCGGCUCAACCGUAGAAUUGCAUUUGAAACUGGCAGUCUUGAGUACAGUAGAGGUGGGCGGAAUGCGUGGUGUAGCGGUGAAAUGCUUAGAUAUCACGAAGAACUCCGAUUGCGAAGGCAGCUCACUGGACUGCAGCUGACACUGAGGCUCGAAAGUGUGGGUAUCAAACAGGAUUAGAUACCCUGGUAGUC
rnacentral:rRNA from 1 species